rnacentral:rRNA from 1 species
GACAGAGGGUGCGAACGUUGUUCGGAAUUACUGGGCGUAAAGCGCGUGUAGGCGGCAACGUAAGUCGGGCGUGAAAUCCCACGGCUCAACCGUGGAAGUGCACUCGAAACUGCGUAGCUAGAGUCCUGGAGAGGAAGGUGGAAUGCUUGGUGUAGAGGUGAAAUUCGUAGAUAUCAAGCGGAACACCGGUGGCGAAGGCGGCCUUCUGGACAGUGACUGACGCUGAGACGCGAAAGCGUGGGGAGCAAACAGG